rfam:Mesocricetus auratus contig065971, whole genome shotgun sequence.
GUUUAUCCUCAGCUCUGAGAACUGAAUUCCAUGGGUUGUGUUAAUGUCAGACCUGUGAAGUUCAGUUCUUCAGCUGGGAUAGCUCUG